UUUUAGCUUAGAUGGUACCUGAUACAUGUGGAACCGCCACAUCAGCGGCCCCCCUAGAGCCGGUCCCACGGAUAUGGAGGGAGGUAAAUGCAGGUUGAGGUCGUCGAGAGAUUCCAAUCGUUAGCCCCUAUUGUUGUGACGAUUUUCGGUUGUAGAUUUUUGUAUUCGUUCUAUGUCGUUAGAUACCGGUGAUGUGGGUUCUUGUAUUAAGGACUUUAUGUUGAACUCUUUGGGUUUGCUUCUUAUGUUUUCCACUGUGGUAUUUCCAUUAUUUCGUUGAUUGUGUUUUUUUCAUUGUAGUGGAGUAUGAGUUUACAUAUAUCUACGAUGAUUUCUAGAUCGUCUUUUCUUUUA